GCCCAGAAGAGGAUCAGCCGCUCCGCCUUGCCGCCGCACUGCCUGGAUCCUAACACGGGAAGCCGCCAGGAGCCUGUCCCGGACUCCCUAAAUGUCUGUGGCGCCAGAGAGCGGCGGGGAGGGGCCGAGUCUAGGCGAGCCUGGAGGAGCGUGCUGAGUGAUUCAUGGCUGCGGCGGAGGCCAGGCUGCCCCCCGGCUCCUGUCUUCUUCUGGCUGAGGGGCUAGCAGCAGGGGCACCGCCAAGCCCCACAGAAUGGGCUUGCCUCUCCACCCACACAACAAUUCAAGGAUGCUCCAGGUCAGUUGGUGCGUAACAAGUACCAUGGCGGCAGCGACGGAAAACUGAGUAAGUCUCCCCAAAAUAAGGCCCUUUGAUGUGUUUUAGACCCGAGCAAAGUGGGAAACGGGGUCCUGGCGGGGAAGAAGGCCGUUUUCUUAACGGAAUAAACCUGCAUCGGGUCUAGCAUACAGUCUUGGGUAAGGGUAGGAAGAAAUAAAAUGGACCACCCUCAGCGUGGAUGUUAGGGAUAGUGGGGCGUCACUCCAGAGUCUCCUGUAGGCUGGUAUCCCGUACCCACUUACCUGGGGGGAAAGCCCACUGAUGUAAACGGGACUUCUGAGCAGACACGUGUAGGCUUGCGCUACUAGUGAAUAUGUAGGUGUCAGAAGUGGAGGGGGGGAAUAAUAUCGAAGGCCGAACAAACUCCGGUGCAAACAAUAAUUUAUUUAAAUAAUCUCUUCAUAGUGUAAAAGUAACAUCGAGAGAUUUUGUUUUGUUUUUGUAAUAAAUAACCAAGAAAAUACCUUUUUAUGUUUUAAAGGUUUUAACGACGAACUAGGAAAAAUUCAGUAGCUUAUUCUUUUUGACAGCGAAGAGAAAAAGUAUCAAACAGAAUAAUUAAAGGAUAUGGAAACUGCUCAGAGAGAAACAGGAUGACGUUAUGGCAUUAACAGAUCUUGGUUUACAAACAUAAACAAAUACAGGCUGUCCAAUGCAACUCUUCACCCCUCUCUAUUUAUUUUUUUACACCAAGAAGCCAAGGAGGGGAGAAAUCAGCACAAAACAGCGUUAUUACAAACAUAUUUUUUCCUCGUGAAAAAAAAGUCCUGCAAACAUUAAAAAAAGAUAAUUUAAACACA